UAGGCUGCAACUCGCCUACAUGAAGUCGGAAUUGCUAGUAAUCGCGGAUCAGCAUGCCGCGGUGAAUACGUUCCCGGGCCUUGUACACACCGCCCGUCACACCAUGGGAGUCGGUAACACCCGAAGCCUGUAGUCUAACCGCAAGGGGGACGCAGUCGAAGGUGGGAUUGAUGACUGGGGUGAAGUCGUAACAAGGUACC
rnacentral:rRNA from 1 species